CCCGCCCGCCUGCCUGCCUCCAGGCCUCGGGCGGGAGCGCGGCAGCCAGGGCGCGAGCCUAAGGCGCAGACCUCCUCCCGGUCUCCUGGGUGGCUGGCUCCCGACGCUCAGUUGUCGCUGAUAAGGCCCUGCAAGUCUCCUCAUGCCCACAUCCCCAGAGCCUCUGUCCCCGAGUAGGUCCCUGCAGCGCACUGCCCUGAGGAGAGGCUGAACUGCCAGCAGUGUUCAGGUGGUCAGGGAACUAAGAUGAUGUCGGUAUGCCCAAGGUGGGAAGUUCUGUCUGCUCUUGGACUACACCAGUGAUCUUAACUUUGGACUUUCAAGAGUGAAUUCUAUGUGCUGAGAGCCAUGUCACAAAUUCAAGUCAUUAAUUACUAUAUAGCCUGGGUGGAAAUCUCGUCCCAUCAUUGACAAAGUUGUUCAAUGCUUUGUUCCAACAGACAAAAGGCAUCCUCACUUUUGUAAGCAUGGUGCUUCCCACAGCUCAAACACGGGAUGAGAAGAUGGAGGGAUGUCACCUAGCUUUUUCCCACCAGCAGUUCUGAACACUUUCUAAUCUGAAGCAUGUGGUUUGCAAAUGUUGGUAUAUUUCUUGUAAACAAAGAAAUUGUAUCAACUUGGUAAGUCCAAAAUAGUUUUCUGAAAGGCAAUUAAUAUAUUUCUCUCUCUUUUUUUAAAGUAUAGAGCAAAUUUUUUGUUUUGGCAGAUUUUUAUUUCUUGCUAAAGAGCUCCUACUGUUACCUCUCAGAAUAGUGGAAUAGGUAUAAUGGACUAAGCCCCAGAUUUGGGAUCUGGAGGCCUGGGGGGGAAUCUUGGCUCAUUAGCAACACCCGUAUGAUGGAGGCAGCCUUAUUCCCCAUUGGUGACACAGAGUUGCUCUCCAAGCUCUCCACUUCUUCAGACACUGCACCUCAGGCACAAGGCAGAGUGGUGUCUCCUUGUCAGCUGUGGGCAGAGCUGAACACACUCAGCCCAGCAUCUUCCUCUUUCCUCCCUCUGAAUCUACCAAUCAGCACACACUCUCAGUCAGUCCUCAAGGGCAGUGUCCUGUUGGGGUUCAGCAGCGACACUGUUCAUGGUUGGGAAUGUAGAUCUAAUUCAGGGGCAUGGUAUUAGGCCCACAUAGCCAAACCACAUUCUCCAAUAGCAUUUAUUCAGUAAUAAAACUGCCUGACUCAACUGGUUCUGAGUGUGAUAGGAAAGGCUGGGCCAGGCGGGGGAGUUUUAGGCAUGUGUCCUUAUUCAAAAAGACCUAGGAUGGUACCUAGAGCCCCACUGGACUCUAGCAAAUUUUUGCUUAAAAUCAAUGAAGAUAGAGAGAGUAGAUCUAGUGGAAAAAAGCAAAGUGGGCUGAGUGUGAAAAUUACAAAUAGGCAGUUUGAAACAGUUGAUCCAGCUUCAAACUCCCAAAACAGGCUAUCAGCAUUAGAACAGAAAUGGCAGGAUUUCUCCCCAUGGGAAGUUCAGGAUAAAACGGUCACCCCCAGGAAGGAGUGCCGGAACACACCACCAUUUCCACCACCAUUCUCAGGGGCUGGUGGUCCCAGCCAAAGCUGAAGAAUCCUCACUGCAGGCCUCCUGCUGCAUUUGUUUACUUAGAGCAAGUGGAGAGAUGUGCCAGCUCAGCGUUCAGGUUUUAAAUCAAAUAAUUUGGGAGAUAGCAAGAUAAAAGCCCUGAUUCAAUUUCAGUUUUCUUUCUCUUUUAAAAAUAAUAAGGUUCAGAAACAUAGUGAUCCAAAAGCAGGAACUGGAUGAAGGCCAUUUGCCUUCUAGGCCUUGUUCUGGGAAGAACAGAACACACAGCACACACACUGAUUUCUGUCCCCAAAAGGGAAGCAGUGUACAAAAAUAAUGAUCAUCAACCACAAGGGGUAUUUUCCUUUAGGGCAAAUUUUAGAAGCCACUGAUGACUGAAAGGCUCAUGGCCCCUGAACCCCCUUUUAGAGUCUAUGAUGGAGACAAUGCAUUGAGGUGUGACACUCUGACCUCUAGGCUGGUUAUCCAAAGGCUGAGAUUCUCGCACAAUUCAUUCCAUGUCCUUGAUGAGUCACUCUGUUCAUCUGGGUUUCCCCAUCUGUGAAAUGAAGGGCUGGGUGACUUUCUUCCACUGGUGGUGGGGCUGGGCUGCCUGCUUCAAGUUACCCACUCUGGCUGUUGGAACUGACCUGCUGUGGCACUGAUGAAGGGCUACCUGAGAGGAAGCAGGGGCUCAGAGAGGAGCCCCCACCUUUGAGCAUCUUGAAUAGCAUCCCUUUCCUCCCUGCCUUGUCUGGCUGCCCGAUUUGGCAGCCACUUGCAAAAUGACUGCUGUGCUUCCAUCUGCUGAAUCUCAGUGGAACAUCAGGAGUGAGGGGUGUGAAAUGUGGACACUCUUUCCCUACUUUUUUUAGUUGCUGCUAAUGGUUGUCUAGGGACAAAAAUAUUGGAAGACCUUUUUGGAAGUCCCUUCUGAAAUACCUAAAAAUAUCUAGAGCUCACUGGAUAACUGACAGAGAAUAUAGGAUGGCUGCCACCAUUUUUGUAGCCUGUGAUGCUCUGAUUUAUCCAAAGGGGUGAGAAGUCAUUGUAGAUGAGUUAGUCACUUGGAAUAGAGCAGCAGAUGCCAGCUGCCUAGCGAACAGCAAGGCUUUUCUGUAUUUUGAGGCUUUUAAAGUACACACACACACAUACACCAACUCUGCUGUAUAAAAGUUAUUCACAAUACAUGAAAACACAAUUGUUUUAAAAUAAA